ACCUACGGGGCGCAGCAGUGGGGGAUAUUGCACAAUGGGGGGAACCCUGAUGCAGCGACGCCGCGUGGGCGAUGGAGUACUUCGGUAUGUAAAGCCCUAUCAGCAGGGAAGAAAAUGACGGUACCUGACCAAGAAGCCCCGGCUAACUACGUGCCAGCAGCCGCGGUAAUACGUAGGGGGCAAGCGUUAUCCGGAUUUACUGGGUGUAAAGGGAGCGUAGACGGCAGCGCAAGUCUGGAGUGAAAUGCCGGGGCCCAACCCCGGAACUGCUUUGGAAACUGUGCAGCUCGAGUGCAGGAGAGGUA
rnacentral:rRNA from 1 species